rnacentral:tRNA from 1 species
GCUUCUAUGGCCAAGUUGGUAAGGCMCUCACUAGUAAUGAGGAGAUCAUAGGUUCGAAUCCUGUUGGAAGCA